GACAAACGCUGGCGGCGUGCCUAACACAUGCAAGUCGAACGGGACUUAAGGGGCUUGCUCCUUAAGUUUAGUGGCGAACGGGUGAGUAACGCGUGAGGAACCUGCCUUCCAGUGGGGGACAACAGUUGGAAACGACUGCUAAUACCGCAUGACACAGUUGAACCGCAUGAUUUAACUGUCAAAGCUUUAUGUGCUGGAAGAUGGCCUCGCGUCUGAUUAGCUAGUUGGUGGGGUAACGGCUCACCAAGGCGACGAUCAGUAGCCGGUCUGAGAGGAUGAACGGCCACAUUGGGACUGAGAUACGGCCCAGACUCCUACGGGAGGCAGCAGUGGGGAAUAUUGCACAAUGGGGGGAAACCCUGAUGCAGCGACGCCGCGUGAGUGAAGAAGUAUUUCGGUAUGUAAAGCUCUAUCAGCAGGGAAGAAAAUGACGGUACCUGACUAAGAAGCCCCGGCUAACUACGUG
rnacentral:rRNA from 1 species